CCUACGGGGGGCAGCAGUGAGGAAUAUUGGUCAAUGGACGAGAGUCUGAACCAGCCAAGUAGCGUGAAGGAUGACUGCCCUCUGGUUUGUAAACUUCUUUUAUAUGGGAGUAAAAUGUUCCACGUGUGGGAUUUUGUAUGUACCAUAUGAAUAAGGAUCGGCUAACUCCGUGCCAGCAGCCGCGGUAAUACGGAGGAUCCGAGCGUUAUCCGGAUUUAUUGGGUUUAAAGGGAGCGCAGGUGGAUUGUUAAGUCAGUUGGGAAAGUUUGCGGCUCAACCGUAGAAUGGCAGUUGAAACUGGCGGUCUUGAGUACAGUAGAGGUGGGCGGAAUUCGUGGUGUAGCGGUGAAAUGCUUAGAUAUAACGAAGAACUCCGAUUGCGAAGGUAGCUCACUGGACUGCAACUGACACUGAGGCUCGAAAGUGUGGGUAUCAAACAGGAUUAGAUACCCGAGUAGUC
rnacentral:rRNA from 1 species